rnacentral:rRNA from 1 species
CGCAGCCGCGGUAAUUCCAGCUCCAAUAGCGUAUAUUAAAGUUGUUGCAGUUAAAAAGCUCGUAGUUGAAUUUCGGGAUCAGUACGCUGGUCGUGCCUUCGGUAUGUACUGGUGUUACUGGUUUCUACCUUCUGACGAACCGUUAUGUCAUUCAUUUGGUGUGGCGGGAAAUCAGGACUGUUACUUUGAAAAAAUUAGAGUGUUUAAAGCAGGCUCGCGCUUGAAUACAUUAGCAUGGAAUAAUGAAAUAGGACGUUUGAUCCUAUUUUGUUGGUUUCUAGGAUCGACGUAAUGAUUAAUAGGGAUAGUUGGGGGCAUUAGUAUUCAAUUGUCAGAGGUGAAAUUCUUGGAUUUAUUGAAGACUAACUACUGCGAAAGCAUUUGCCAAGGAUGUUUUCAUUAAUCAAGAACGAAAGUUAGGGGAUCGAAGACGAUCAGAUACCGUCGUAGUCUUAACCAUAAACUAUGCCGACUAGGGAUCGGAUGAUGUUAAUUUUUAAUGACUCAUUCGGCGCCUUAC